GGGCGUGUAGCUCAGUUGGUAGAGCGUGUCAUUAGCAUCUAUCUACCACUACUUGACAAGGUCUUUGGUUCGAUUCCUAACUCGUCCA